GACGAACGCUGGCGGCGUGCUUAACACAUGCAAGUCGAACGAAGUGGCGAACGGGUGAGUAAUGCGUAAUCAACCUGCCCUUCAGAGGGGGACACCACUUGGAAACGAAUGCUAUUACCGCAUACUGAGGGAGGGGAUUGCGUCGUAUUAGCUAGUUGGAGGGGUAAUGGCCCACCAAGGCGAUGAUCAGUCGCCGGUCUGACAGGAUGAACGGCCACAUGGGGACUGAGACACGGCCCAGACUCCUACGGGAGGCAGCAGUGGGGAAUCUUCCGCAAUGGACGAAAGUCUGACGGAGCAACGCCGCGUGAGUGAUGACGGCCUUCGGGUUGUAAAGCUCUGUUAAUCGGGACGCGGUACCGGAAUAGAAAGCCACGGCUAACUACGUGCCAGCAGCCGCGGUAAUAC
rnacentral:rRNA from 1 species